GAUUGAACGCUGGCGGCAUGCCUUACACAUGCAAGUCGAACGGCAGCACGGGUGCUUGCACCUGGUGGCGAGUGGCGAACGGGUGAGUAAUACAUCGGAACAUGUCCUGUAGUGGGGGAUAGCCCGGCGAAAGCCGGAUUAAUACCGCAUACGAUCUACGGAUGAAAGCGGGGGACCUUCGGGCCUCGCGCUAUAGGGUUGGCCGAUGGCUGAUUAGCUAGUUGGUGGGGUAAAGGCCUACCAAGGCGACGAUCAGUAGCUGGUCUGAGAGGACGACCAGCCACACUGGGACUGGGGCACGGCCCAGACUCCUACGGGAGGCAGCAGUGGGGAAUUUUGGACAAUGGGCGAAAGCCUGAUCCAGCAAUGCCGCGUGUGUGAAGAAGGCCUUCGGGUUGUAAAGCACUUUUGUCCGGAAAGAAAUCCUUGGCUCUAAUACAGUCGGGGGAUGACGGUACCGGAAGAAUAAGCACCGGCUAACUACGUGCCAGCAGCCGCGGUAAUACGUAGGGUGCGAGCGUUAAUCGGAAUUACUGGGCGUAAAGCGUGCGCAGGCGGUUUGCUAAGACCGAUGUGAAAUCCCCGGGCUCAACCUGGGAACUGCAUUGGUGACUGGCAGGCUAGAGUAUGGCAGAGGGGGGGUAGAAUUCCACGUGUAGCAGUGAAAUGCGUAGAGAUGUGGGGGAAUACCGAUGGCGAAGGCAGCCCCCUGGGCCAAUACUGACGCUCAUGCACGAAAGCGUGGGGAGCAAACAGGAUUAGAUACCCUGGUAGUCCACGCCCUAAACGAUGUCAACUAGUUGUUGGGGAUUCAUUUCCUUAGUAACGUAGCUAACGCGUGAAGUUGACCGCCUGGGGAGUACGGUCGCAAGAUUAAAACUCAAAGGAAUUGACGGGGACCCGCACAAGCGGUGGAUGAUGUGGAUUAAUUCGAUGCAACGCGAAAAACCUUACCUACCCUUGACAUGGUCGGAAUCCCGCUGAGAGGUGGGAGUGCUCGAAAGAGAACCGGCGCACAGGUGCUGCAUGGCUGUCGUCAGCUCGUGUCGUGAGAUGUUGGGUUAAGUCCCGCAACGAGCGCAACCCUUGUCCUUAGUUGCUACGCAAGAGCACUCUAAGGAGACUGCCGGUGACAAACCGGAGGAAGGUGGGGAUGACGUCAAGUCCUCAUGGCCCUUAUGGGUAGGGCUUCACACGUCAUACAAUGGUCGGAACAGAGGGUUGCCAACCCGCGAGGGGGAGCUAAUCCCAGAAAACCGAUCGUAGUCCGGAUUGCACUCUGCAACUCGAGUGCAUGAAGCUGGAAUCGCUAGUAAUCGCGGAUCAGCAUGCCGCGGUGAAUACGUUCCCGGGUCUUGUACACACCGC
rnacentral:rRNA from 1 species